rnacentral:lncRNA from 1 species
GCGCCGUAGCGCCAGGAAGCAAAAGGCAGGCCUUUCUUUACCACCCCUCGCCUCUUGCCCUUCGCUGCCUCCGACACGACGACGCGGCCGCCGCCAUGCCGAAGCUGAGCAAAGAGUCCAAGCAGCGCCUGCAGCACUUGUUCAAGGGCGGGCAGUUUGCCAUCCGGUGGGGCUUCAUCCCGGUAGUACUCUACCUAGGUCAGUUCUGAGCUGGGGACAGCGAGUAGGUUGCCGCGGGCAGCUUGGUCACGGAAGACUCGGUAUACUCUGACUUGAGGCAGGCGGCGGGGGCGGGGCGGGGCAGCUUCCCGAACCGUUAACGGUCCGUUAACGGUCUUCCCGUCAACGGCUGGUUCGAGCGCGCGUGGCGCGUCUUCUUGGAACGCGGCGGCGAUAGUGACGCAACCGAGAGGAACUCGCGCGGUGGGGCGAGUCACGUGGCCGAUUCCCCUCAGCUCCUCGUGAUUAGCGGGGAGAGCGCCCUGUGGGGCAGAAGCGGCUCCUUGCACUUACCCGCUUCCGUUCCCUGAACCCAAAUUCUCCGCUUCACAGCUCACUUUAGCGCUGGUAGUUUCGGAUUUAACCUAGAGAAAAGGCAGGCAGGCUGCAUCGUGAAAGCCCUCCUGUUUUUUCUUCCCUUUCCUAGUACUCGUUGGAAGGCGAGCUUGUGUGAAUAUGGUGAUAGAAGGAUCUCCUGUGACCUUCAGUGUUUUCCAAACUCGGUCUCCAGCUGUUUUCGGACUAGAAUUCCCAUCACCCCUGACCUUACUGGUCUUGCCCGCUAGGGAUGAUGGGAGUUGUAGUCCCAAAAACAGCUGGAGACCCGAGUUUGGGAAACACUGCUUCAGACUGUCUGUGGGCGACACAACUGUUGGAUGCUCUUGUGCGCUGAAAGUUAUAUCACCUUGCAAGAAGAAAUUAUUAUAUCCAGCAGUAAGCUGGGCUACAUUUGUCUCUCUGGUGUGCUAGCUUUCUGCUUGAGUGAGCUGAAUGGAGGAAUGGGUGAAUAAUCACCGACAAUCUCCCCACCCCAGUUUGCAAGACAGACUGAAGUUGCUUAUAAAUAGUUUUAGUUUUCAGAAUUCUGUAUUUCACGAUUAUGUGAACUCCUAAAUGUGUUUAAGCAUGACACAAAGGUAAACAUGGUUAAAAUUGCUCACAGGUGUGUUAUUUCUUUUGUGGUAUCAGGAGUUUGCUUAGAAGUCAGCAGAUUUCUGAAAACUAGAGGCCAAUUUUUAGAAUGUUCUUAGAAUUGCCCAGGCCAAGCUCAAUUAGUUCAGCAAUGAUUCUGUUCUAUGAAGUGUCAUUGACAACUUCUUUUUCAUUUGCUGGGAAAUAAAUUAUUCCGUUAUCCAUGGGCCUGCUGUGCAGGACAUUUCUUACUGAAUUCCAUUAACAAUGCAGUAAAGUCCUAUUUAUUAGUAAGAUCAGAGACUGUCUUUCUCUGUCUGGUGGAUUUGGUGGGCAACAUACAUCAUGCCACAAAAUAAGGACUGUUUUAGAUGUCAGAGAUACUUUUAGAAGAGUAUUCUUUCUUUAGAAGAGUAUUCUUUCUUCCCAGGCAGAUUAUCAGUGCAAUUCUAACUUGGAAUCUAUCUAAAUCCUAAUACAUUUAAUGGUGCUUACACUCAGGUAAGUAUGGGGUUAGGCUUGCAGCCCAAGUCACCUGCUGGUGCAGAGGAGUGGGGUUUUCAAUGUGUGUUGCUGAGCACGCAAUAGAAUGGACCCCUUUCUUUGCACUUCUACUUUAUGGCAUGUUGGGGUGGGGAGUGCAGGAGACUGUAUCAAAGUGCAAUGCUAUCUAUUACAUUACUGUGGCUAGUCAUGUGUGCAUUAAUUCUAGAAAUAUUUAUUAUAUGUAAAAGCAAUAAUAUAUUCAUGAUAUAAACUGACAGAUACAUUGUUUGUAACUAGGAUUUAAGAGAGGUGCAGAUCCUGGAAUGCCUGAGCCAACCGUUCUGAGGUAUGUUUUCACUAGUUAAUACCUCAGCAGAAAUAAUGCCUGCUAAAGGAGAAAAUAGAACAUGUGCUUUGUGAUUAACUUGGAGGGGAGAGUUUGAAACUUAUGCUACAAUCCUACACUCACUUACCUAAGGGUAAGUCCCAUUCCAUUUAUACAUCUCUUACACGUGCACUUACAGAAAUAUCACACAAAUUAUAUUUUAACUGUUGCUAUAUUCUCAUGUAAGGUGUAGGUCAGGAUUUGGUGCUACCAUUUUUUAAUUUAAGGGACACACCAUAAGAAGGAAAUGUUCUAUCUUUUGGUUGCUGACUUAAGUAUAUCAUCAAGAGAUAUGACCUGAUUGUGUCAAGUCCUCUUUCUCUUGGAAUGAGCUUGCUUCAGUAACAUUACAAACCAAGAACUGGUAACCAUCGAAUGAUUUAAACACCGACAGCUUACCCUGCUUGAAACUGAAUUUUUAAAAGGGCAGUGUAUGUUGUUUGUUGUUUGAUCAAUGUACAAGGCAUAGGCCUUCUGUUUCAUUUUGUUGUUGCCUGAUGGCACUAAUAAGGCCUCGUGGAAAAUAUGAGUGGUUACAUGUUAAGAGUUGGAAUGAGGUGGAGAGUAGGAGCCUAAUAAAACUAGACUAAUAAAGCCUAAUAAAAAGCCUAAUAAAGCCUAAUAAAACUAAUCCACUCUGAAGCCUAACAGUUUGUUUUCCAAACAGACUGUUAGGCUUCAGAGUGGAUUAGUGGGAGAAACUUUUUUUUUUUUUUUUUUUUGCUGUUGCUGAGGCAUGAAUAAGUAUAAAGUUUAUGAAUGACUACUAAUGUUACUCCUACUGAGAGUAAGUCAAUUUAAAUCAGUGGGCUUAAGUCAAUUGAUUUCAGUUGGUCUGUUUUGAGAAUGAUUUAGUUGUAUAUGACCAGUCAGAAUCUACCUUCCAGGUAUUGGUGGACUCCCACCAUUCCUGGGGCUGAUAUGAGUUAAAGUCCAACAACAUCUGAAAGGUGACAGGUCCCCACCUGUGUCCUAUGUGAUCUCAGAGGUGGUUUAAAAUUUGCUGGUUUUUUUGUUUUGUUUUUUAAAUUCAAAACAAACCAGAUUGGCAGAAGGACUUUCCUUUCUUAUAAAAUUCUGGAAGUAAUAGAAAAAACCAUUGAAGCUUUUCAUUAAUUUCUCCUUGCAUUUAUGGCGCUUCUGCAUGGUGACACUUUAUUGUAUGGAUGCUACUGAGAAUUGGCAUUAAUGUAACAUUUUAUCAUUUAAUAUUCUACACUCUGCUGUCUGACUGCUGUUUAGACUCCUGUAAUUAAACUGUCAUGUAAAAUCCCAUUGUCUGUUUAAAAAAUCUGCAGGUGAUCAAUUUAUUCAAUUUUAUGUCUUGUCAUUUUCCUGUGUUUUUGCAUUUAUGAGAUUUAAAAGAUAAGAUGCAUCCUCUUCUUAAUACAAGACUUUCUUGUAUUAUCCAGUAUGUUUAGGAUAUACAAUUAAAUGAGACUUGUUCUGUUAAGUGAAGUGCAUGAUGCCCAAAUUGGCUUUGUUGGAUUGUAUGCAGCAUACAUACAGACACCCCCAAUACACAUGUACUCGCCAAGCAUCCAGCACACUAACCACACUUGCACUUACAUAAUGUGCACAUGCGAACACCCCUCCCCACACUCACUGCAUAUACAGCAUAUCCGCCCCACUCAUACAGCACAUACAUUCACCAGGCACAGAUACACACAACUGGUGUGUUUCCAGCAUUCCCCACUCAAGUGCCUUAGAGCUUCUUCCGACACUUUGGGAUCGCCGUUUUUGGUGACUGGGACCAAAGUGCUAUUAAUUUCUGCACUAAAACAUGGGGUUUCCAUUACUGUGGCCUGAGCCAACAUGUGGUAUUAAAUCAUUCAUUCAUUCAUUCAUUUAGAUGUGUCACACAUAUUUGAAAUGGUCAACACAUUUAAGAAGUCUUUGUAGUAGUAAUGAAAUGGGUUGGGAAGGGAAGGGAAGAAUGUGCUCCCCUUUAACUAUUUUAUAUUUUUGUCAGUCCUUGGAAUCUUGAAGACCAAUGGAUGGGCAGAGAGAAAAAAUGGAUGUGAUCAUAGUGUUUACUAUUUUGGGGGAUAGUUUAGUAGCAUAAUUGGGGUGGACACUGACAGUGAACUCUUAUGUUUACUCAAAAACUGGGACUUAAUGGGACUUAGUCCUAGGUAAAAUGGCAGCCUAAAUACACAAUAUCAUAAAUUUGCUCGGGAUUAAAAUGAGUGUAAAUGAGAUGAAGCAUUGAGAAGAUGCCACCAAUUUCUUGUUUGUGGCUUGAACCAUAUUAUUUAGUACCUAAAUAAUCUUGCUGACUUUUAAAAGCAAAAACUGUCUUUCUAGCUAUUAUUUGGCCUUUCCAACCAGUCAACUGAGCUGACUAUCAUAACUUCAGUCGCUUAUUAUGUUACAUGUUUCAUCUUUGAUUUCACCCUGGUAUGAGUGAUAAUAGAUAGAAUAAUAUCUAGAAUUUUAUUUCUAGAGUCCCUGAUGGAUUGCCAGGUUCCCUUGAAAAUAAUGGUUGGGAUUGUGAGCAUUUUUGGAGAGCAGUGUAAUAUGGAUAAGCCUUAAUAUUACUUGUCUGUGUCAAUAUAGGUUACUUUCAAGAUCAGUCAUAAUAUUACAAUUUCUUUAAGCCACCUCAGAAUUGCACUGAAAGAAUGUGACAGUAUACUAAGAAAGCAAGAAAGAAAGAAAGAAAGAAAGAAAGAAAGAAAGAAAGAAAGAAAGAGAGAGCGAAACUAGAAGGCAGAUAAAAUACCCCCAAAUGUAUUCUACAAUCACAUGAGUGUUAAUUCCAUCUUAUAUGGUUGGGUGCAUUUAGCACUUUAAAUAUGAUGGUGUUCCUAAUGGCCACAUCAGUAUCUGUUAUGUAUUGAUGAUUGAAUUCAAACCUUAAUCCAAGCCUAAACCCCACCUCUGUCACUGUUGGGUAGCCUAGGCUGACUAUCCCUCAGCUGCAGGUGAUUAUCAGAGCGGAACUGAAUAAAGUAUCCCUAGUCUCUUCUAAUGAUUCUACAUUUGCUCUGUUCUGUUAAUUAAUAUGGCUUACUUGCAUCUGCACUGGCUGACCUUCCGCGGUUGAAUACGUUAUUGAAUGUGUAAAGCUGCAGCUCUGUACUCAGUUACAUAAUAAUUACAACAAUGAAAUCAACAGAACUUGCUUCUCAUUAGACAUGUAUAGAACUGUGCUGUAAGUGACAAAGUUGUACUUUUUAGUAUUUCUUGAAAGAGCUGUUCUGCUGGUAACAGCAUCAUGAGACUUGUGAUCAACUUAGUUUUUCCCCCUUUUUCUUCCUCCACCUCUCUUAGCCUACUAUGGGGAUGAAGGAGUUAACCACAGCAUUCUGGAAGCCGGCUGCUGAGCAGGAAAAAAAGAUGGAGAUGCAUACAUUCCAAAGGCUGGGAAAAACAGCACUGAGCUAUGCCACUGGCAAGCAGACUUCCCUGACAACAUGGAAUAUGCUUACAACAUAAUGGAAUUUCCAUCUGUCUAAUUUAUUUGUGUUACACUUUCAUUUUUUCCCUUUAGAAUAAAUAUUUUGUCUGAAAUUCUUUAA